rnacentral:rRNA from 1 species
GUGCCAGCAGCCGCGGUAAUACGUAGGGGGCAAGCGUUGUCCGGAUUUACUGGGCGUAAAGCGCGUGUAGGCGGAAGCGAAAGUCCGGUGUGAAAGCCCCCCGCUCAACGGGGGAAGGUCGCUGGAAACUGCGCUUCUUGAGGGCGGCAGAGGGAAGUGGAAUUGCUGGUGUAGCGGUGAAAUGCGUAGAGAUCAGCAGGAACACCCGUGGCGAAGGCGGCUUCCUGGGCCGCGCCUGACGCUGAGACGCGAAAGCGUGGGGAGCGAACGGGAUUAGAUACCCCGGUAGUCC